GUACACGCUGUGACUAGCAUAUCAAUAAGCGGAGGAAAAGAAACUAACAAGGAUUCCCCUAGUAACGGCGAGUGAAGCGGGAAGAGCUCAAAUUUGAAAUCUUAAAGGGUUUCCCUUUACGAAUUGUAGUUUAAAGAAGUGUUUUCUGUUGAGGUUUUGGUAAAAGUUCUUUGGAAUAGGACAUCAUAGAGGGUGAGAAUCCCGUAUUUGACCUUUACUUUCAACUUUGUGAUACACUUUCAAAGAGUCGGAUUGUUUGGGAAUGCAGUCCAAAAUGGGUGGUAAAUUUCAUCUAAAGCUAAAUAUUGGCGAGAGACCGAUAGCGAACAAGUACCGUGAGGGAAAGAUGAAAAGAACCUUGAAAAGAGAGUUAAACAGUACGUGAAAUUGUCAAAAGGGAAGCGUUUGACACCAGUGUUGUUUUUCUGAAAAUCAAUUAAAGAACUGUUUAUGCUAAGCUGUUUAGACUUUAUCAGCUAUCUGUUUAGUUUUGAGCUUUUCUUUAAUGCACUUUUCAGUUAACAAGUCAACAUCAAUUUCUUUUGCUGUAAAAAAGCUUGAGGAAGGUGGCUUGAGAUUCGUCUUAAGUGUUUAUAGCCUCUUGCCUAUGCAGUCGGAGAGAUUGAGGUCUGCAGCGUAGAUCCUUCGGGGCUAAAUGCAUUUGUGCUAAGUUAUAGCAUUUUAUAGACAACUUGUUGACUAUGAUUUGUCUUGUAGCUUACUCGCUUAUGUUAUUUUACCUACGCUUAGGAUGUUGAAGUCAUCGUAUCGCGC
rnacentral:rRNA from 1 species